UGCGAAGUAGUGAAAUGGCAUCAUACUGGUUUCAUUAUCCGGUGUAGGUAGUUCGAAUCUACCCUUCGCAU
rnacentral:tRNA from 1 species